AGUGAACGCUGGCGGCAGGCCUAACACAUGCAAGUCGAACGGGUGGCGGACGGGUGAGGAAUAGAUCGGCAUGUACUCUGUCGAGGGGGAUAACGUAGAGAAACUUACGAUAAUAGCGCUUACGAAUGAAUAGGCCGAGGUUGGAGUAGCUAGUUGGCGGGGUAAAGGCCCACAAAGGCGACGAUCCGUAGCUGGGCUGAGAGGAUGAUCGGCCACACUGGAACGGAGACACGGCCCAGACUCCUACGGGAGGCAGCAGUGGGGAAUAUUGGACAAUGGGCGCAAGCCUGAUCCAGCCAUACCGCGUGGGUGAAGAAGGCCUUCGGGUUGUAAAGCCCUUUUGUUGGGAAAGCGGUACCCAAAGAAUAAGCACCGGCUAACUUCGUGCCAGCAGCCGCGGUAAUUC
rnacentral:rRNA from 1 species